UCUACGGGUGGCAGCAGUGGGGAAUAUUGGGCAAUGGGCGCAAGCCUGAUCCAGCAACGCCGCGUGAAGGAAGAAGGCUCUCGGGUUGUAAACUUCUUUUAUCAGGGACGAAGCAAGUGACGGUACCUGAUGAAGAAGCCACGGCCAACUACGUGCCAGCAGCCGCGGUAAUACGUAGGUGGCAAGCGUUAUCCGGAUUUACUGGGUGUAAAGGGCGUGUAGGCGGGAAAGCAAGUCAGAUGUGAAAACCAUGGGCUCAACCUGUGGCCUGCAUUUGAAACUGUUUUGCUUGAGUGCUGGAGAGGCAGACGGAAUUCCUAGUGUAGCGGUGAAAUGCGUAGAUAUUAGGAGGAACACCAGUGGCGAAGGCGGUCUACUGGACAGCAACUGACGCUGAGGCGCGAAAGCGUGGGGAGCAAACAGGAUUAGAUACCCGUGUAGUC
rnacentral:rRNA from 1 species